CCUGUCUUCUAUGUUCCUUUAAAGGCGGUUGUGGCUCAGGAGGAAGAGGGUGGGUGUCUACUGUUAAGAAAGAGGGUGGUCCAAGCUCUGGCUCCUUCAAUCUAGAUGUUGAAGUAUCUCUAAAGAUGCCAAACCCUGAGAUGCCCUGGAUGCAUCCAUCAGAGUAUAAAGGAGGAGUUCAAGAGAAUAACCACUGUAAGCCUUGAAUGGCUACACUUGACCAUUGCACCCCAAAACUGAUGGAUGUCAUUUUAUCAAGGGGAGGAGCUAAGGGAGUGAGAAUCAGGCAGAUCAAGGACAUGCUUCUUGAGCACAAUACAAUUGAAACACGCAGAGAAGUAGCCAUCUGCUGCCUUAUCACUUUCCUUGGAGAGAAGGACGAGGACCUUUUCAUGGAGUUUGGUGUAAGUAAUUCAGCAUUGUGUGUGUGUGUGUAUGUGUGUGUGUCUGUGUGUGUUCCAUUGAUCAUCUGAAUUCAUUAAGAUUCAGUAAGUAUAAAAGUCUAAUCUAUAAUUCACUAACCUAUUUUUUAAAAUUUGCUUUACAAGGACACCAAAGAACUUAAGGCAGGUGAUGAAAACUGCCAUCAUCAGUGACCGGUACACCCCUGGAUCUAACCAUAAGACUGCAACCAUUGUGGUGGAGGAAACAAAAAUAAUGGAGGGCCAGAAUUUCCCAAGGUGCUGUGUUUUGCUCAUGGGCAUAAUAUAUGCUCUCAAUCUGAGCUAAUGCAAAUAUACUUUUGAAGUUGUUCAGAAGCUGUUCCUUGACCUUGAUGGAACCAUCAUUAUGUUAAAGAUGUUGACUCUGUUUCAAAAAUUGUUAACUGUUUUGAAUCCUGUAUGUGUAAAAUUGAUCUUAAAGGUGUUUGCUACAUUGUGUAAUAGAAAGAUGCAAGAUCUUGUAAAGUUUGGUAGGCAUUGAAAGUUAACAUUUACUGAACACUUGCAUGGAAGU
ensembl:lncRNA